rnacentral:tRNA from 1 species
GGGAAUAUAGCUCAGUGGUAGAGUGCUUGCUCAGUGUGCAUGAAGCCCUGGGUUUGAUCCCCAGCACCCU